rnacentral:sRNA from 1 species
AAUUAAAAUAAUUAUGGUUCAUAGCAAAAAUAAGAAUAACUAGAUUUUAACCCGCGGUAUACCGCGAAAACAAUUUAUUUUUUAAAUUAAUAUAUAUAAAAGUUUGUAAAUUGUAUCUAUCUAUAAAAUAUUUUUAUUGUAUAGUUUACAAUUGUUAUUAAGUAACGUCCUGCCAAACCCGUCCCGCCAACCCGUCCUCUAAAAAAACUCAUUUAUUUUAUGAAUGUGAUCUUAUUUAUGAUAUGUUUAUGAAUUAUUGUCUAAAUAUUUUGUAAUUUUGUAGUAAUUAAAUGUUAUCAAAUAUCUCUACGGUUUGAUGAUUAUAAUCAUGCAGAAAAGCAAUAUCAAAAAUGAUAAUUUUGUAGUAAUUAAAUGAUAUUAAAUAUUUUAGAAGUUUUAUUUUAGUAAUUAAUCGUGUAGUUAAGGUAGAGAGAUUUUGGAAAGAUUGUUAAAUGUCAAAUAUUUAAUUAGAAGAUUUUCUUUCUAAUUAUCAAAAACAAUUAUUAAAUGCCAAUGACAGCCGCUGUAAAUAAAUCCCAACUCCAGAAUUUAUUUCACAAAGUGGCUGCAAAAAUAUAUAUAUAGAUGAUAAUAAUCAAAAUCAGAAAUCAAAUCAAAAUCCAACUUGCCAUCUAAAUAAAUGGAAUCUUUCUAACUUGAUAAAAA